rnacentral:lncRNA from 1 species
GAGUUGGGGGAGAGGACCAGAACCACCUGCUGGAGAAGGGGAGCUACGGGGGCCGGGCAGGGUCCAAACGCCUCACGUAGGCGGCGGCGCCACGGUCUUCGGGGUCACAGGGAAGAGAAGGGCUCUCCUCAAGCGGGUGGAAGGAGGGAGGCCUCCCGAGGGAGUGAGACUCUAGGCCACUCCCCCGCAGCAAGGCAGGAUCACCUGCGACGCGGAGAGCGGUUAGAGGGCCCUGGAGUGGAAAAGGGCAGUGGGACCUGGUAGCUUGGGUUCCCUGCAACUUGGGGUUCGACCUCCAGGCAAUGAAGUAGGGAUGGUCCUGCAAGUCAAGAUUCCAGUAGCAAGAGUGCAUCAGAUCUCUGUAAGGAAAAUAACUAACAUUGCUCAGUUCCCUGUAGAGUUGCAGGGCGCUUUAACGUUAUCUCCCUUGGUUCUCCAUCAGGUCGUAGUGGACUAAUUUUACAGGCGAAGUUAAGUGACUUACCCAAAACCUCACAGCUAAUAAACGGCAGAGCCGGCACCCAGCUGUACUGGCUUCCAAUUCUGUUAGCUUACCAGCGCAUCACAUUAUCUCCAUAAAUCCCCAUGAUUCAACUAAUAUUAGACGCCCCACAGAGUCUCGCUACUCAAAACGUGGUCAGUGGCCCAGCAGCACUGACAUGAGGAUGUUAGUUAGAAACUCAGAAUCUCAGGCUCCACCCCAGACCUGCUGAACCAGCAUCUUCAACUUAACAAGAACCCGAAGAGAUUUGUGUCACAUCAAAAAGUUUGAGAAGCUCUGAUCUAGCUGGACCCUGGACACGGUGACUCUGAUUCAAUUAUGCAGAUGACCACAAACCUCUGGGGUUGGCAGAGCCACAAGAAAGAAGGUGCCUGGAUGAAGGAGAGCUACCCACUGACCUGGACACCCAAUUAUAGGAUAGACAGUGAAGUGCAACUACAGCCCGCAAAUGAAAAUGAAUAAUAUUAAUCCAGCCCCUCAAGGCAGUCAUCUGUCUUAGAGCUAUUGGAAUCCUGGAUCAUUGUGGGAAAUGAAAGGAACUGGUUUUUAGCAAGGAGACCAAGAAACUCUACUCCCUAGGGGCUAGCAAUGAGAGAAAGGAAGCCUUAAGUCUUUGAGCACAGGGUGACAGUUUGGGUCCUAUGUGAGAUGAUCAAAUCCACAGCAACAGAGGAAAGGACAAAAGGAAAAGGUCUGUAGCAGCACUACAUCAGAAAAAAAUGGAUUCAGCAAGGAAGUGGGUGACUCUGAGUAAGCAUCCAUGUCAGGAUGGUUUUGCUACAGCCCCCAACAAAACAUUAAUUAGUUUAAGAAACUCAACUUCGGUUUACAAGUGUUUUGGAAAAGUAACAAAGAACAACAUAAGUAACAAAAUAAUUCCUCAGGUCAUUACAAUGGAUGUUUCCUAUAACUGAAAAAUAUGGUUAAAAAGUACAAACUACAUUUGGUGUGCAAACUGUUUAGUUCUUAAUUCCAAACUAAAUUGUACAUUAUAUAGUAAAAUUUUGACCAGAAAAACUUGGAGAUUUUAGUAAAAAUUUCAUUGACAUAUUUACAGCCCCAGUGUAGUUUGGCCGGUGUGCAAAGCCUGACUAAGGAGGUUAUAGAAAAAAAUAUCAGACUUAAGCCCAUCAAAUCAUUAAAGAUGCUUUGGCAAGACUUCAAGCUUUACAGACAUACUCCAUGUGACCAGAGAUGUCAUAACCAGUGUUCUUUCUCUUGAAAUGUUAGAAUGCUUUAGUUUUAUUCUAUAAUUUCCGUGUUCCAUGGAACAGCAUUCAUUUCUCCCAGUUUUAGUAACAUAAUGAGAGAUAUAUUGAGUGUAUAGAGCAGGAAAGACAUGAAAACUUAUAUUGCAUAAUAUUAGCAAACAUAAAAGAUAGCAUUAUAAAUUUUUAAAAAUCCAAAAAAAUUCCAGAAACAGAACAGUGAGCAUGUUUAAAAAGUCAGGACUGACCGUUUCUGUGAGUUCUGAGGACUGUAAAUGAGCCUCAAUCCAUAAAGCUGAGAGGUUGUCUUAGCCCACAUAUGCAGCAGGUGACUCCCUCUGACAAAAGCAAGAUUUAGCUGGAUCUUUUAAAAAAAAAA